UACGGUGAGAAAGCAGGGGACCUUCGGGCCUUGCGCUAAUAGAUGAGCCUAAGUCGGAUUAGCUAGUUGGUGGGGUAAAGGCCUACCAAGGCGACGAUCUGUAGCGGGUCUGAGAGGAUGAUCCGCCACACUGGGACUGAGACACGGCCCACACUCCUACGGGAGGCAGCAGUGGGGAAUAUUGGACAAUGGGGGGAACCCUGAUCCAGCCAUGCCGCGUGUGUGAAGAAGGCCUUUUGGUUGUAAAGCACUUUAAGCGAGGAGGAGGCUCUUCUAGUUAAUACCUAUGAUGAGUGGACGUUACUCGCAGAAUAAGCACCGGCUAACUCUGUGCCAGCAGCCGCGGUAAUACAGAGGGUGCGAGCGUUAAUCGGAUUUACUGGGCGUAAAGCGUGCGUACGUUGGGGCCUUUGAGGCUUUAGUGGCGCAGUUAACGCGAUAAGUAGACCGCCUGGGGAGUACGGUCGCAAGACUAAAACUCAAAUGAAUCGACGGGGGCCCGCACAAGCGGUGGAGCAUGUGGUUUAAUUCGAUGCAACGCGAAGAACCUUACGUGGUCUUGACAUAGUAAGAACUUUCCAGAGAUGGAUUGGUGCCUUCGGGAACUUACAUACAGGUGCUGCAUGGCUGUCGUCAGCUGGUGUCGUGAGAUGUUGGGUUAAGUCCUGCAACGAGCGCAACCCUUUUCCUUAUUCGCCAGCGGGUUAAGCCGGGAACUUUAAGGAUACUGCCAGUGACAAACUGGAGGAAGGCGGGGAUGACGUCAAGUCAUCAUGGCCCUUAUGACCAGGGCUACACACGUGCUACAAUGGUCGGUACAAAGGGUUGCUACCUAGCGAUAGGAUGCUAAUCUCAAAAAGCCGAUCGUAGUCCGGAUUGGAGUCUGCAACUCGACUCCAUGAAGUCGGAAUCGCUAGUAAUCGCGGAUCAGAAUGUCGCGGUGAAUACGUUCCCGGGCCUUGUACACACCGCCUGUCACACCAUGGGAGUUUGUUGCACCAGAAGUAGGUAGUCUAACCGUAAGGAGGACGCUUACCACGGUGUGGCCGAUGACUGGGGUGAAGUCGUAACAAGG
rnacentral:rRNA from 1 species